GACGUAGGAGGCGAGCGUUGUCCGGAUUCAUUGGGCGUAAAGAGCGCGCAGGCGGCUUGGUAAGUCGGAUGUGAAAUCCCGAGGCUCAACCUCGGGUCUGCAUCCGAUACUGCCCGGCUGGAGGCAGGUAGGGGAGAUCGGAAUUCCUGGUGUAGCGGUGAAAUGCGCAGAUAUCAGGAGGAACACCGGUGGCGAAGGCGGAUCUCUGGGCCUUGCCUGACGCUGAGGCGCGAAAGUGUGGGGAGCGAACAGG
rnacentral:rRNA from 1 species